AAGUCGAACGAGAAAGNACCUUCGGGUGCGAGUAGAGUGGCGCACGGGUGCGUAACACGUAGGUGACCUACCUUUAAGUCGGGGACAACAUCGGGAAACUGAUGCUAAUACCGGAUGUGGAUAUCAACUUUGAAAUGAGAUAUCUAAAGGGGGCUUUGGCUCUCGCUUGAUGAAGGGCCUGCGGAACAUUAGCUUGAUGGUGGGGUAAUGGCUUACCAUGGCUACGAUGUUUAGGGGGUCUGAGAGGAUGAUCCCCCACACUGGAACUGAGACACGGUCCAGACUCCUACGGGAGGCAGCAGUAGGGAAUAUUGCGCAAUGGGCGAAAGCCUGACGCAGCAAUGCCGCGUGAGUGAGGACGGCCUUCGGGUUGUAAAGCUCUGUCAUAUGGGAAGAACAAGUUGGUGGUUAAUACCCAUCAGCCCUGACGGUACCAUAGAAGGAAGCACCGGCUAACUUCGUGCCAGCAGCCGCGGUAAUACGAAGGGUGCAAGCGUUGUUCGGAUUUAUUGGGCGUAAAGCGCGCGCAGGCGGAUGUGCAAGUCAGAUGUGAAAUCUCGGGGCUCAACCCCGAAACUGCGUCUGAAACUGUUCAUCUAGAAUCAUAUAGGGGGUAGGGGGAAUUUCACAUGUAGGGGUAAAAUCCGUAGAGAUGUGAAGGAACACCGGAGGCGAAGGCGCCUACCUGGAUAUGUAUUGACGCUGAGGCGCGAAAGCGUGGGGAGCAAACAGGAUUAGAUACCCUGGUAGUCCCACGCCGUAAACGAUGAGUACUAGUUAUUGGGAGGUAUUGACCCCUUCAGUGACGCAGCUAACGCAUUAAGUACUCCGCCUGGGAAGGUACGGUCGCAAGACUAAAACUCAAAGGAAUUGACGG
rnacentral:rRNA from 1 species